AACGAACGCUGGCGGCAGGCUUAACACAUGCAAGUCGAGCGCAUCCUUCGGGGUGAGCGGCGGACGGGUGAGUAACGCGUGGGAACGUGCCCUCUUCUACGGAAUAGCCUCUGGAAACUGAGAGUAAUGCCGUAUACGCCCGCAAGGGGAAAGAUUUAUCGGAGGAGGAUCGGCCCGCGUUGGAUUAGGUAGUUGGUGGGGUAACGGCCUACCAAGCCGACGAUCCAUAGCUGGUUUGAGAGGAUGAUCAGCCACACUGGGACUGAGACACGGCCCAGACUCCUACGGGAGGCAGCAGUGGGGAAUCUUGGACAAUGGGGGCAGCCCUGAUCCAGCCAUGCCGCGUGAACGAUGAAGGCCUUAGGGUUGUAAAGAUCUUUCAGCUGGGAAGAUAAUGACGGUACCAGCAGAAGAAGCCCCGGCUAACUCCGUG
rnacentral:rRNA from 1 species